rnacentral:rRNA from 1 species
ACAUGCAAGUCGAACGGUAACAUUUCUAGCUUGCUAGAAGAUGACGAGUGGCGGACGGGUGAGUAAUGCUUGGGAACUUGCCUUUGCGAGGGGGAUAACAGUUGGAAACGACUGCUAAUACCGCAUAAUGUCUACGGACCAAACGGGGCUUCGGCUCCGGCGCAAAGAGAGGCCCAAGUGAGAUUAGCUAGUUGGUAAGGUAACGGCUUACCAAGGCGACGAUCUCUAGCUGUUCUGAGAGGAAGAUCAGCCACACUGGGACUGAGACACGGCCCAGACUCCUACGGGAGGCAGCAGUGGGGAAUAUUGCACAAUGGGGGAAACCCUGAUGCAGCCAUGCCGCGUGUGUGAAGAAGGCCUUCGGGUUGUAAAGCACUUUCAGUUGUGAGGAAAAGUUAGUAGUUAAUACCUGCUAGCCGUGACGUUAACAACAGAAGAAGCACCGGCUAACUCCGUGCCAGCAGCCGCGGUAAUACGGAGGGUGCGAGCGUUAAUCGGAAUUACUGGGCGUAAAGCGCACGCAGGCGGUUUGUUAAGCUAGAUGUGAAAGCCCCGGGCUCAACCUGGGAUGGUCAUUUAGAACUGGCAGACUAGAGUCUUGGAGAGGGGAGUGGAAUUCCAGGUGUAGCGGUGAAAUGCGUAGAUAUCUG